AUACGGAGGGUGCAAGCGUUAUUCGGAAUCACUGGGCGUAAAGGACGCGUAGGCGGGUUGGCAAGUCAGAUGUGAAAUCCUACAGCUUAACUGUAGAACUGCAUUUGAAACUGCUAACCUAGAGUAUGAGAGGGGGAGAUGGAAUUAGUGGUGUAGGGGUAAAAUCCGUAGAUAUCACUAGGAAUACCGAAAGCGAAGGCGAUCUCCUGGAACAUAACUGACGCUAAGGCGUGAAAGCGUGGGGAGCAAACAGAAUUAGAUACCCCAGUAGUCC
rnacentral:rRNA from 1 species